rnacentral:rRNA from 1 species
UACGUAGGGGGGCUAGCGUUGUCCGGAUUUAUUGGGCGUAAAGAGCGUGUAGGCGGCCAGGUAGGUCUGCUGUGAAAACUCGAGGCUCAACCUCGAGAUGUCGACCGAAACCAUCUGGCUAGAGUCCGGAAGAGGAGAAUGGAAUUCCCGGUGUAGCGGUGAAAUGCGCAGAUAUCGGGAAGAACACCCGUGGCGAAGGCGGUUCUCUGGGACGGUACUGACGCUGAGACGCGAAAGCGUGGGGAGCGAACAGG